CUGUAGCUCAGUUGGUAGAGCAUCUCACUUUUAAUGAGGGUGUCGCGGGUCCGAUUCCCGCCAGU
rnacentral:tRNA from 1 species